AGUGAACGCUGGCGGUAGGCCUAACACAUGCAAGUCGAACGGCAGCACAGUAAGAGCUUGCUCUUACGGGUGGCGAGUGGCGUACGGGUGAGGAAUACAUCGGAAUCUACUUUUUCGUGGGGGAUAACGUAGGGAAACUUACGCUAAUACCGCAUACGACCUACGGGUGAAAGCAGGGGAUCUUCGGACCUUGCGCGAUUGAAUGAGCCGAUGUCGGAUUAGCUAGUUGGCGGGGUAAAGGCCCACCAAGGCGACGAUCCGUAGCUGGUCUGAGAGGAGGGUCGGCCACACUGGAACUGAGACACGGUCCAGACUCCUACGGGAGGCAGCAGUGGGGAAUAGUGGACAAUGGGCGCAAGCCUGAUCCAGCCAUACCGCGUGGGUGAAGAAGGCCUUCGGGUUGUAAAGCCCUUUUGUUGGGAAAGAAAAGCAGCAGGUUAAUACCCCGCUGUUCUGACGGUACCCAAAGAAUAAGCACCGGCUAACUUCGUG
rnacentral:rRNA from 1 species